AGGGACGUCGUUCAGUGGUAGGACUUCGGUCUCCAAAACCGAUAACAGGCGUUCGAUUCGCCUCGUCCCUG
rnacentral:tRNA from 1 species